rnacentral:rRNA from 1 species
AACGAACGCUGGCGGCGUGCCUAACACAUGCAAGUCGAGCGGGAAAGUUCCCUUCGGGGGGCGAGUACAGCGGCGAACGGGUGAGUAACACGUAGGUAACCUACCCUGGAGACUGGGAUAACCUGCCGAAGGGCGGGCUAAUACUAGAUAAGACCACGAAGGCUGCGGCCCUUGUGGGAAAAGGUGGCCUCUACUUGUAAGCUACUACUUCAGGAUGGGCCUGCGCGCCAUUAGCUAGUUGGUGAGGUAACGGCUCACCAAGGCUGAGAUGGCUAGCUGGUCUGAGAGGAUGGCCAGCCACACUGGGACUGAGACACGGCCCAGACUCCUACGGGAGGCAGCAGUGGGGAAUCUUGCGCAAUGGGCGAAAGCCUGACGCAGCGACGCCGCGUGGGUGAUGAAGGCCUUCGGGUCGUAAAGCCCUGUCAAGAGGGACGAAACCUCGCCGACCUAACACGUCGGCGACCUGACGGUACCUCUGAAGGAAGCACCGGCUAACUCCGUGCCAGCAGCCGCCGUAACAC